UACGUAGGGUGCGAGCGUUAAUCGGAAUUACUGGGCGUAAAGCGCGCGUAGGCGGCUUUGUAAGUUAGAGGUGAAAGCCCGGGGCUCAACCCCGGAACUGCCUUUAAAACUGCAUCGCUUGAAUCCGGGAGAGGUGAGUGGAAUUCCGAGUGUAGAGGUGAAAUUCGUAGAUAUUCGGAAGAACACCAGUGGCGAAGGCGGCUCACUGGACCGGCAUUGACGCUGAGGUGCGAAAGCGUGGGGAGCAAACAGG
rnacentral:rRNA from 1 species